UGGGGAAUUUUGCACAAUGGGGGAAACCCUGAUGCAGCGACGCCGCGUGAUUUAGAAGGCCUUCGGGUUGUAAAAAUCUUUUGUAUGGGAAGAAAAUGACAGUACCAUACGAAUAAGGACCGGCUAAUUACGUGCCAGCAGCCGCGGUAAUACGUAAGGUCCGAGCGUUGUCCGGAAUCAUUGGGCGUAAAGGGUACGUAGGCGGAUAAGCAAGUUAGAAGUGAAAUCCUAUAGCUCAACUAUAGUAAGCUUUUAAAACUGCUCAUCUUGAGGUAUGGAAGGGAAAGUGGAAUUCCUAGUGGAGCGGUGAAAUGCGCAGAUAUUAGGAGGAAUACCGGUGGCGAAGGCGACUUUCUGGCCAUAUACUGACGCUGAGGUACGAAAGCGUGGGUAGCAAACAGG
rnacentral:rRNA from 1 species